UUGGGCUUAAAUAAAAAUAUAAUUGUUUGGGUUUUAAUAUGUAGUAACUUAGUAUAACAAAAUAAAUAAAUUCCCCAACAUAAAAAUAAAUAAUAAUAAAUACUUAGAAAUUAUUAUGAUUAAAUGAUCAUGCUCAUGCAAUAACUAGGCGCGACUUAUAAAAUUUAAUAUUUAAUUGGAAAAAAAUAAAUUAAAGAAUUUAAUAAUUUUGUAGUUAAAAUAUUUUGGGUCUCUACAUCCUUACCAACUAAAAAAAAAAAUUCGUCAUCGAAAUUACCUACCUGAGUCUGAGUCAAAUAAGUGAGGGUAUCUAGAUCUAAUGUCCUAUUCC
rnacentral:lncRNA from 1 species